CUGCGGAAGGAUCAUUACCGAGUGCAGGUCUGCCCCCGGGCAGGCCUAACCUCCCACCCGUGAAUACCUGACCAACGUUGCUUCGGCGGUGCGCCUCCCCCCCGGGGGGGCAGCCGCCGGGGACCACACCGAACCUCUUGUCUUUAGUGUUGUCUGAGCUUGAUAGCAAACCUAUUAAAACUUUCAACAAUGGAUCUCUUGGUUCCGGCAUCGAUGAAGAACGCAGCGAACUGCGAUAAGUAAUGUGAAUUGCAGAAUUCAGUGAAUCAUCGAGUCUUUGAACGCACAUUGCGCCCCCUGGCAUUCCGGGGGGCAUGCCUGUCCGAGCGUCAUUGCUGCCCUUCAAGCCCGGCUUGUGUGUUGGGUCGUCGUCCCCCCCGGGGGACGGGCCCGAAAGGCAGCGGCGGCACCGCGUCCGGUCCUCGAGCGUAUGGGGCUUUGUCACCCGCUCGAUAAGGGCCGGCCGGGCGCCAGCCGGCGUCUCCAACCUUCUAUUU
rnacentral:misc_RNA from 1 species